rnacentral:tRNA from 1 species
GCCCAGGUCGCGAAGCUCGGUAUCGCGGCGGUCUUGAAAACCGCUUCCCGAAAGGGAGCGCAGGUUCGAAUCCUGCCCUGGGCG